GGCCUCGUGGUGUAACGGUAACACACCCUCUUAUUAUGAAGUGGGCACUGUUAUCAUUUAUGAGGGUAUUCCCUGUUCGAAUCAGGGCAAGGCUG